UCACGGAGAGUUUGAUCCUGGCUCAGGACGAACGCUGGCGGCGUGCUUAACACAUGCAAGUCGAACGAUGAACCACUUCGGUGGGGAUUAGUGGCGAACGGGUGAGUAACACGUGGGCAAUCUGCCCUGCACUCUGGGACAAGCCCUGGAAACGGGGUCUAAUACCGGAUACAACCACUGACCGCAUGGUCGGGUGGUGGAAAGCUCCGGCGGUGCAGGAUGAGCCCGCGGCCUAUCAGCUUGUUGGUGAGGUAA
rnacentral:rRNA from 1 species